rnacentral:rRNA from 1 species
UACGUAGGGUGCAGGCGUUAAUCGGAAUUACUGGGCGUAAAGCGUGCGCAGGCGGUCUUUUAAGUCAGAUGUGAAAUCCCUCGGCUUAACCGGGGAACUGCGUCCGAUACUGGAUGGCUUGAGUUCGGGAGAGGGAUGCGGAAUUCCAGGUGUAGCGGUGAAAUGCGUAGAGAUGUGGAGGAACACCGAUGGCGAAGGCAGCCCCCUGGGUCGAAGAUUGACGCUCAUGCACGAAAGCGUGGGGAGCAACAGG